rnacentral:ncRNA from 1 species
AUGUUACAUGAAAGGAGAGGUUAGCACCACUCUUGACAAGGAUGGAGGAAAGGAUGGAAGAGGCCCUUGGGCCUUACAACACACAUAGGGUUAAGGCAUUGCCACCUACUUUGUGGCAUCUAAGUACAGUCAAAUUUACUACCAUUUUUU